rnacentral:rRNA from 1 species
AUGGGAAAAUAUCGAACAUGGACUUUCUAUUUUUUAGAACUCCUCAUGGGAUCACUGAAAUGUCCUUUUUGUGGCAUCUUGGGCUGCUGUUUGGAUGAGCUCUCACUCUCUGGCAUGUUCCCUCUUGGUACCUCUUGUUCAUUGUGUUUCUUUAGAAUUUGCUCUGCCUUUAGUCCUCAUUUUUCAUCCAUGGCAUGUUUCUUUCUUCAGUUCAUCAACUUGUCUAUUCUCCAGUUCCUGGGGUUGUCUAUUUUGCAGUUUCUCAGCUUGCUUCUUUUUCAUUUACUUAGCUUGCUGCAUGUUCAGUUCCUCAACUUGCUUCUUUUUCUCCUCCCAUUCUUGUUGCCUUGA